AUUGAACGCUGGCGGCAUGCUUUACACAUGCAAGUCGAACGGUAACAGGGAGCUUGCUCCGCUGACGAGUGGCGAACGGGUGAGUAAUGCGUCAGAACGUGCCGAGUAAUGGGGGAUAACGCAUCGAAAGGUGUGCUAAUACCGCAUACGUACUGAGGUAGAAAGUGGGGGACCUUCGGGCCUCACGCUAUUCGAGCGGCCGACGUCUGAUUAGCUAGUUGGGGAGGUAAAGGCUCACCAAGGCGACGAUCAGUAGCGGGUAUGAGAGGAUGGGGCGCCACACUGGGACGGAGACACGGCCCAGACUCCUACGGGAGGCAGCAGUGGGGAAUUUUGGACAAUGGGCGCAAGCCUGAUCCAGCCAUGCCGCGUGUCUGAAGAAGGCCUUCGGGUUGUAAAGCUCUUUCGGCAGGGAAGAAGCGCUCUGGAAUAAUACUCCGGGGUAAUGACGGUACCUGAAGAAGAAGCACCGGCUAACUACGUGCCAGCCGCCGCAGUAACAC
rnacentral:rRNA from 1 species